rnacentral:rRNA from 1 species
CCCGCUGAACUUAAGCAUAUCAAUAAGCGGAGGAAAAGAAACCAACAGGGAUUGCCUCAGUAACGGCGAGUGAAGCGGCAACAGCUCAAAUUUGAAAUCUGGCUUCUCGGAGCCCGAGUUGUAAUUUGUAGAGGAUGUUUCGGGUACCGCUGCGGCUUAAUUUUCUUGGAACAGAAUGUCAGAGAGGGUGAGAGUCCCGUCUGGAGCCGCGGUAGGGCCUAUGUGAAACUCCUUCGACGAGUCGAGUUGUUUGGGAAUGCAGCUCAAAAUGGGUGGUAAAUUUCAUCUAAAGCUAAAUAUUGGCCAGAGACCGAUAGCGCACAAGUAGAGUGAUCGAAAGAUGAAAAGCACUUUGAAAAGAGAGUUAAACAGUAUGUGAAAUUGUUGAAAGGGAAGCGCUGGCAACCAGACUUGCGUGUAGGGGUUCCCCCUCGCUUCUGCGUGGGUUACUCCCCUAUAUCCAGGCCAACAUCGGUUUUGGCGGUCGGUCAAAGGCCCUGGGAAUGUAUCUUCCCCCGGGAAGACUUAUAGCCCAGGGUGUCAUGCGGCCUGCCGGGACCGAGGAACGCGCUUCGGCUCGGAUGUUGGCGUAAUGGUUGUCAGCGACCCGUCUUGAAACACGG